GACGAACGCUGGCGGCGUGCUUAACACAUGCAAGUCGAACGGUGAAGCGCCUUCCUUUUUGGUGGGUGUGGAUGAGUGGCGAACGGGUGAGUAACACGUGAGUAACCUGCCCCCUUCUUCUGGAUAACCGCAUGAAAGUGUGGCUAAUACGGGAUAUUCUGGGUCUGUCGCAUGAUGGGUCUGGGAAAGAUAUUGUUUCGGUGGGGGAUGGGCUCGCGGCCUAUCAGCUUGUUGGUGGGGUGAUGGGGUACCAAGGCGGUGUAGGGUAGACGGCCUGAGAGGGACGGCGGCCAAGCUGAGACUGAGACAGGACGCAGCAGUGGAGAAGAGGGCGCAGUGGGGAAAAGUGUAAUGCGGCGACGCGGCGGAGGCGAUAACGGCGUUCGGGUUGUGAAGCUCUUUGGGUAGUGAAGCGGUUUUGCCUCGUAUGUGGGUGGAUUGACGGUAGCUGGUAAAGAAGCGCCGGCUAACUACGUG
rnacentral:rRNA from 1 species